UUGAUAAAAAACCACCAACUUUGAUCAAAUUAAAUAAGCUAUAUAGAACACUUUCUAUAUAGCUUAUUUAAUUUGAUCAAAGUUGGUGAUGUCACAUCAU